AUCUGAAGUUUGUGUGGAUCCAGAAUGUUUAUUUCCUUUUUUGACCCCACAGCAGAUAGUUACAAAGACAGCUUUAAAGUAAAGAAGGGAAAAUUGGCUUGAUACCUCAGAAUCAACAACAAUUACCUUUGCCUGAAAUAUCCAGAGGCUCGGAAUCGGAAAUCCAGAAACUCUAGUGCCAGCAUUGUCUGGUGAGAUGAGGCAUCUGAGCAAGGGGAGACACCUAAUGGCAUUUCUCAUUACCAACAAAGAAAAACAGAUGAACAUAUGCUUGCAAACCCACGCCAGCUGACUUACUGAGUAGAAGAUAAAUGUGUUCAUCAGUGAAAGAGAAGGGGACCAACAGAAAGACACAUGUAGCCAGGAGAUGAAUUCAAUGAUCACCUUUAUUCCAGGCACCAACAAGUGAGGUAAAGGCAAAGACCGAAUGGAAAAAUGUCAGAAAUGAAUACCAAUGAUAAGAAGAGGUUCCAUGGCCAGGGAUUGAACCUGAACAGCAGCUACCUGGGCCACAACAGUGACAACACCGAAUCGUUAACCUGCUGAGUUACCAGGGAAAUCUCCCCCCCCUCCGCCACCAAAAUAUAUUCUUUUAGAGAAAUAUUUCUUUUCCUUUGGGGACUCUCUGUACUUAUCAGUAAUCUGCAUUAAGUGAUUGAGAUACAGGUUUUGGCUUUCAUUCUGCAAAGGCUUGAAGCAGACUUCAAGGUAAAAUAUUACAUAGCAUCAAGGAAAUGGGUAUUUUUCUAGGGAAUUUUCCUUCUUUACAAAGACAACUUUGAUUCUGAAUCAGACACUGACUUGGCACCACAGUGUCUUGGAAUGACCUUCCUUUAUCCAGAAGAGAGCUGUUUUAGACAAGAUCACAUGUUUGUUUUUGUUUUUUCAGGGCUGCAUCUGCGGCAUAUGGAGGUUCCCAGGCUAGGGGUCAAAUAGUAGCCUCAGCUGCCAGCCUACGCCACAGCCACAGCAAUGCGGGAACCAAGCCAUAUCUGUGACUGACACCAGAGCUCACAGCAACGCCAGAUCCUGAACCCACUGAGCAAGGCCAGGGACCAAACCUGUGUCCCCAUGGAUGCCAGUUGGAUUCGCUAACCACUGAGCCAUGACAGGAACACCUAAAAUAUUGGUUUUCAUGUUUGCUCAAAUUUUCUAGCUUGGGCCAUUGGGAGCUCUAGCAGUUAGUUCCUGUAUGUUUGACAUACCCCAUCUUCUGUUGUUACUGUUGUUUGCUAUUUGUUUGAUACUUUCUAAUACUACAAAAUGUUCAAGAAUCAUCUUUUUUAUUUCCUGCCGCAGUCCAAUAAUCGGCUAUUUCCCUAAGGAGUACUAGUAGCUUCUCUUUUAGAAAAGUAUUAAAAACCAAGAUGUUUUAGGUAUGCUCACUGAUACUGGGGUAUUGUUAUUCGAGGACCUCUCAGCUAAGAAGGAGAUAUAUAUGUGUAUAUACUAAUUACGUAUAUGCAUACUCAUCAGUGUUUCUAUGUGCAAACAUCUGUAUCCAUAUUAGGUCAAACAGGAGUUCAUAUUGGUGUCUCCAACUCUAAUUCAACUAAUCUUAGGUCAUUCUAGCCUUCUCCCUUUGCUUACCUGUAAGCUCCCGCUUCAGAAGUGAGACCUGGCUCCAGCCCUGAUAUCCAUUGACUUAACUGUUCAAUUCAAGUGUACAUGUACAGAAGUAUUAGAAUUGUAACCCUGACUUUCAAUAUGUUAAUCACCUGAAUAAAUUAAUUACCUUUUGCCUUAGUUUUCAUAAAGUGCACUCAUUUCCAAGUUUACUUAGAUGAGUAGCUCCUCUGCCUUCUGUAAGAUCAUAUUCCUAUAUAUUUUGUAACAGAACUUUUUUGUCAUCUGCAUUCUAUUCUGGGAUCCCAUGACCUCCAAAAUGAUUUAAAAUUAGCGUAUGUAAGGUUCUUUCUUUGUGUAAUAAAGUUCAAUGGGUUUCAACAAAUGUAUAUUGUCCACUAUUGUGUCCACUAUUGUAUCAUGGUGAAGAGUGUCACAUUUUAAAAGUUUCCCGUUCUUCACUUAUUCAAACCAUCUGCAUCCCAAACACCAAGAAGCUACUGAUUUUUUUUACUGUCUCUAUAGUUUUGCCUGUUCUAGAAUAUCAUAUAAUUAGGAAGAGACAGUAUGCAGUAUUUUCAGACUGACUUUCACUUAGCAAUAUGCAAAGUUUAAGAUUUAUCUAUGAUUUUAUUUAUUUGUGAAUAAUAUUCCAUUGUAUGGAUGAUCAUUUAUAAAAUGAAAUCAUAGUUCAUCUGUCUUAUUUCUAAACAGUUUUAUAUUAUAUUCAAUGUAUUAUGAUUUGUUUACCCAACAAGCUAUUGAAGGACUCUUGGUUGCUUCUGGUUUUGGGAUGAUAGAGAUGGUUGAAACAUUCACAAGUAGUUUUUUGUGUGUACAUAGAUUUUUAAAUGAGUAGAAAUUUAAGAUUGCAACUGCUGAUUAUGUGACAAACCUGUGUUUUGCUUUAUAAGAAACUGCCAAACUGUCUCUCAAAGUAUUAUACCAUUUUGCAUCCCCAUGGACAAUGAAAGUUCCUAUUGCUCCUCAUCCUUGUCAACUUUUGGUAUUUAUUUAUUUAUUUUUAGUCAUUCUACUAGGUGUGUGGUGAAAUCUUACUGUUUCAGUUUACAAUUCAUUAAUGAAAAAUUAUGCGGGGCAUUUUUUCAUAUGUGUAUUUACCAAAUGUUUAUCUUUCUAGGUGAGAUGUAUGUUGAGAUUUUUGGUCCAUUUUUAAAGUUCAAUUAAUUUUUUUUCUUGUUGAGUUUUAAGAAUUGUGUACUUUGAAUACAAGUCUUUCAUCAAAUAUAUGUUUUGCAAAU
rnacentral:lncRNA from 1 species